CUUCUUACUAAGUACUCUUGUUGACACCGAGUAUGAAAAGUUCCUGUACGAGGCAUCUGUAGCUCCAACUAAGUCUACAUCAUCUGCGGUGACUGGUGGCAUGGAUGGUCUUCCACGUGAAGAUAUCAGUGAAAGGAUCAGCCCCACGUGAAGAUAUGUUUGUUAAUCAUCAAAUCUGUGAAUGAUUUAAGAGGGCAUGCUGUCAAUCUGAAUUUAUUUUUCUGUCAAAGUCUGCUUGGAAUCUAUUGAAAGUGUAACCAAAAUUCUGGAAGAGGCGAACAAACGUAUUCUGCCGGGUGGACUGGCCAGUUGAGAAGUCAAGCAAGGGCAUUCUUUCAGAUGUCUUGAAAUGCCUUGGCUACAACAAAAGCAUAUGCAUGAGAGUACAUUGAGCACCUUAGAUACUUGGCUUGGUGUUGCUCAUCCCAAUAAAAUGCUACCAUAUAUUACAGCAGUUCUCACAUACGCCAAAGUAGGCGCAGAAGAGCGCAAGGAUUUUUUUGAUUGGCUAUCAAGAAAGCUUCCUAGUUUGUCUGAGUUUCCUGAUGUAGGUGUUUGUGUCAACUUUAUGUCUCAAGAAAUAUCUUGGUUACCUAUCCAGGAUAAAUCAGUAGAUGUUCGUAAAUCGGCUGCAUGCUUUAAUGAAAUAUUGAGUGUUUGUGGACAAGAAACGGUAU